rnacentral:lncRNA from 1 species
CAGGUACUUAUACAUCAGGUGGCGCUCAGCUCUCAGUCUCCCGAUCCUACAUACAAGGAAGACUCGGCCGUCUGUGCCGUUACAUCAUGCGCAUGCACGUCGUGACCGCGCUCUGCGCCAUGACUCCGUCUUGGCCGCUUGCUGCGCCUUCGCUCCGCGUGCGUCGUGGCCGCCCGUUGGGCUGAGGACUCGGUCAGGCACAUACUUCCGUUAUCAGUCUGCUUGUCAGAAUUCAAAUGAUGAUAUGACAAUCUUAAUUUCUAGCUGUUCAUGUGUCUUAAUUUUUAAGAAAUUUUAGGCAACAAUCUUACACAAUUGAAAAUGAUAUAACAAUAUAACAUUUAAAUGAUAAUUCACCCCCUCUCUCUAUAUAUAGCUAAACGAUAACAAAAUUGUAUUAGCUGUUUACGCACUCACAGUCGCAGCAACGUGAACGCAUCACGGCGAACCGGCGGCCAGCAGCGGAGCGCUGUCACACCAUGAAGGAAGAAGCAGCACAGGAUGGAGACACCUCACCCUCUCACCUCAGCACCAGCACCACCAGUCGCCACGGCACCCGUCCGUCCGUGGUCAGAGGAUUAUAGGGGAGCGUCAGCGUCAGUGGUCGUGGUCAGACACGAGACGCGGUCCGAGGCCGAUUGAUUUGUGAUUAGCACAUGGCCAAGCAGAUUACGUACUAGUACUACUUUUCCCUCCUAAUCGGCCGUCAGUCCCCUGUCCCUACCGUCCAGUGACGAAUCAACGGCCCUCCACACUGGGCCCCACCCACUUCUCUCGCCUCCGCUCGAUGCUUCCUGCCCCGAUCGCCGGCCGCCUCGCUGUCCGCGCGCCCGGUCAACCGCGUCGUGCUCUGCUCCUGCAUUGCACUGCAGCCUGCAGCCCCCCACCGACUGCGAACUCGCGAUGGCCGCCUGCCUCCUCGCUUACAAGUGCCAGGAUUAGAUUAUUGCACUAGGGCCUCGUUUACUUCCAAUUUUUUUUUUGCAAAAUAUGAAUAGUAGCACUUUCGUUUGUAUUUGACAAAUAUUGUCUAAUUAUAGACUAACUAGGCUCAAAAGAUUCGUCUCGGAAAUUUCGACCAAACUGUAUAAUUAGUUUUUAUUUUCAUCUAUAUUUAAUACUCUAUGCAUACGUCUAAAGAUUCGAUGUGACGGGGAAUCUGAAAAGUUUUGCAAAAUUUUUGGGAACUAAACAAGGCCUAGAUAGAUGCCCUGAACAGUAACAGUAUGGAUCAAUUUCUCGCCGUAAGCUGAUGGCGAACUCUCCUAUUACCGCAUUGUUUAAUGGUCUAAUCGCCCCGUAGAUCCAGCUCGACACGGCAGCUUAAGACCAGUCUCUUCCUCCCUUUCAGCUUGGCAUCUCCUCCCUUCCUUGCUUGGCUAGCGUUCUCACCCCCCUGCCACCUCGCCCGCUCUCCUGUCUCCUCCCCACCCUUCCCCUCCCUCGGGCGGCGUCUCGUCGGGAGUAAAGGGGGCUGCUUUGGGCGCGGCGCGGCGCAGCCCCCCUCAGAUCUGGGCCGGCGGCGGUGGCGGCGAGCGGCAGGAGCAGGACGGCGGAGGGCGGGAUGAAGUCGUCGCUGAGGACCCGGCAGGAGCCGCGGCGGGUCAGCAACGGCGUCAUCAUCGGCGCCAUGCUGCUGUCCCUCUGCGUCCUCAGCAUCGUCAAGGCCAGAUACUGCGCCACCCCCUUCGGUGCGUUGCGUGCUGCGUGUGCGGUGUGCGUGCGUGCGUGCGUUCGCUCGUCACCUUCCCCUCUCUCAUCUCGUCCCUUUCCUUCGUCUGUCUGGAGAUGGUGGUGGGGACUGCGUGGGGAGCUGCCCUUGCUGACGCUGCUGUGGUGUGGUUCGUGCAGGCAAGGCCGAGGACCAGCUCCAGGAGCAGAUGAACUCCAGCAUCAGGAUGGAGCCGGAGGAGUCGUCGCCGGCCAGGACGCCCGGAGGUCUGUCUGCUCUGCUCUGCUCUGCUCUGCUCCCGGAACCAAAUCGAGCUCCAGGGUUUCUAAUCUCUCGGAAAUUCGGCCUCCCCACGGUCUGCGCUGACAAAUUUCUUUUCUCUCUCUUGCGGUCUCUCAGAGGAGGAGGACGAGCAGGAAGAGGAAGAAGAAGAAAACGGGGCAUCGGCGACCCCCGCCACCACCACGGCGCCUGCGGUGACGAAGACGACGCCGACGGCCGUCCCGGCCACCGCCGGCAACAGGGGCAAGGUGAGCAAGGGCGGCAAGGGCAAGCCGACGUGCUACAUGACGAGCAAGCGGUCGGAGCGGUGCGACGCGUCAGGUGACAUCCGGGUGGACGGGAACCGCUCCGCCAUCUACGUCAGCGGGAUAGACAAGGAGUGGAAGACCAAGCCGUACGCGCGCUACCACGACCCCGUGGCCAUGGCCCACGUCCGCGAGUACACCCUCAAGCCGCUCCCGGCGGCGGAGGCGCCGGCGUGCACCAGGAACCACUCCGUCCCUGGCUUCCUCUUCUCCAACGGCGGCUUCUCCGGCAACCUGUACCACGACUACACCGACGUGCUGGUGCCGCUGUUCAUCAGCACCCACCAGUUCCGUGGCCGCGUGCAGUUCCUGCUCAGCGGGAUGAAGCCGUGGUGGGUGGCCAAGUUCACCCCGUUCUUCCGGCAGCUCACCAAGUACGACGUCAUCGACGUGGACAACGACCAGGAGGUGCACUGCUUCCCCCGGAUCGUGGCCGGCGCCACCUUCCACAAGGACAUGGGCGUCGACCCACGCCGGUCGCCGGGCCACGUCUCCGUGGUGGACUUCAAGCGCGCGCUGCGCCGCGCGUUCGGCCUGGAGCGCGAGGCGGCGUCCCGCGGCGGCGCCACGGGCCACGGCAAGCCACGCCUCCUCAUCAUCUCCCGCCGUGGCUCCCGCCGGUUCCUGAACGAGCGUGAGAUGGCGCGGGCCGCCGCCGACGCCGGGUUCGAGGUGCGUGUGGCGGAGCCCGACCAGCACACGGACAUGGCCACGUUCGCGGCGCUGGUGAACUCGGCGGACGUGAUGGUGGGCGUGCACGGCGCCGGGCUCACCAACAUGGUGUUCCUGCCCCGCGGCGCCGUGCUCAUCCAGGUGGUGCCGUUCGGCGGGCUGGAGUGGCUCACCAGCGUCACCUUCAAGGACCCCGCCGCGGACAUGGAGGUGAACUACAUGGACUACAACGUGAAGCUGGAGGAGAGCUCGCUGCUGGACCAGUACCCGAGGAACCACCAGGUGCUCACCGACCCCUACGCCGUGCACAAGCAGGGCUGGGACGCGCUCAAGACGGCGUACCUGGACAAGCAGAACAUCCGGAUGG